rnacentral:rRNA from 1 species
CCAAAGAGGGGGACCUUCGGGCCUCUUGCCAUCAGAUGUGCCCAGAUGGGAUUAGCUAGUAGGUGGGGUAAUGGCUCACCUAGGCGACGAUCCCUAGCUGGUCUGAGAGGAUGACCAGCCACACUGGAACUGAGACACGGUCCAGACUCCUACGGGAGGCAGCAGUGGGGAAUAUUGCACAAUGGGCGCAAGCCUGAUGCAGCCAUGCCGCGUGUGUGAAGAAGGCCUUCGGGUUGUAAAGCACUUUCAGCGAGGAGGAAGGUGGUGAGCUUAAUACGUUCAUCAAUUGACGUUACUCGCAGAAGAAGCACCGGCUAACUCCGUGCCAGCAGCCGCGGUAAUACGGAGGGUGCAAGCGUUAAUCGGAAUUACUGGGCGUAAAGCGCACGCAGGCGGUUUGUUAAGUCAGAUGUGAAAUCCCC